GGGUUGUGAGGUUAAGCGACUAAGCGUACACGGUGGAUGCCCUGGCAGUCAGAGGCGAUGAAGGACGUGCUAAUCUGCGAUAAGCGCCGGUAAGGUGAUAUGAACCGUUAUAACCGGCGAUUUCCGAAUGGGGAAACCCAGUGUGACUCGUCACACUAUCAUUAACUGAAUCCAUAGGUUAAUGAGGCGAACCGGGGGAACUGAAACAUCUAAGUACCCCGAGGAAAAGAAAUCAACCGAGAUUCCCCCAGUAGCGGCGAGCGAACGGGGAGGAGCCCAGAGCCUGAAUCAGCAUGUGUGUUAGUGGAAGCGUCUGGAAAGGCGCGCGAUACAGGGUGACAGCCCCGUACACAAAAGCGCAUGUGCUGUGAGCUCGAUGAGUAGGGCGGGACACGUGGUAUCCUGUCUGAAUAUGGGGGGACCAUCCUCCAAGGCUAAAUACUCCUGACUGACCGAUAGUGAACCAGUACCGUGAGGGAAAGGCGAAAAGAACCCCGGCGAGGGGAGUGAAAAAGAACCUGAAACCGUGUACGUACAAGCAGUGGGAGCCCCACCACUAAGCCAGUGGUGAACUCCACAUACGCAUCCUUUGCUGAGGAUACGGUUAACGGAGCGCAAGCGACGUUCAACCUCAAAAGAAGCAGAGGGGGCUUAGUGGUGGGGUGACUGCGUACCUUUUGUAUAAUGGGUCAGCGACUUAUAUUCUGUAGCAAGGUUAACCGUAUAGGGGAGCCGGAGGGAAACCGAGUCUUAACCGGGCGUUAAGUUGCAGGGUAUAGACCCGAAACCCGGUGAUCUAGCCAUGGGCAGGUUGAAGGUUGGGUAACACUAACUGGAGGACCGAACCGACUAAUGUUGAAAAAUUAGCGGAUGACCUGUGGCUGGGGGUGAAAGGCCAAUCAAACCGGGAGAUAGCUGGUUCUCCCCGAAAGCUAUUUAGGUAGCGCCUCGUGAAUUCAUCUCCGGGGGUAGAGCACUGUUUCGGCUAGGGGGCCAUCCCGGCUUACCAACCCGAUGCAAACUGCGAAUACCGGAGAAUGUUAUCACGGGAGACACACGGCGGGUGCUAACGUCCGUCGUGAAGAGGGAAACAACCCAGACCGCCAGCUAAGGUCCCAAAGUCAUGGUUAAGUGGGAAACGAUGUGGGAAGGCCCAGACAGCCAGGAUGUUGGCUUAGAAGCAGCCAUCAUUUAAAGAAAGCGUAAUAGCUCACUGGUCGAGUCGGCCUGCGCGGAAGAUGUAACGGGGCUAAACCAUG
rnacentral:rRNA from 1 species